GUGGGGAAUCUUCCGCAAUGGACGAAAGUCUGACGGAGCAACGCCGCGUGAGUGAUGAAGGUCUUCGGAUUGUAAAGCUCUGUUAAUCGGGACGAAAGAGCCUAGUGUGAAUAAUGCUAGGAAGUGACGGUACCGGAAUAGAAAGCCACGGCUAACUACGUGCCAGCAGCCGCGGUAAUACGUAGGUGGCAAGCGUUGUCCGGAAUUAUUGGGCGUAAAGCGCGCGCAGGCGGAUCUGCCAGUCUGUCUUAAAAGUUCGGGGCUUAACCCCGUGAUGGGAUGGGAACUACAGAUCUAGAGUAUCGGAGAGGAAAGUGGAAUUCCUAGUGUAGCGGUGAAAUGCGUAGAUAUUAGGAAGAACACCAGUGGCGAAGGCGACUUUCUGGACGAAAACUGACGCUGAGGCGCGAAAGCCAGGGGAGCGAACGGGAUUAGAAACCCCAGUAGUCC
rnacentral:rRNA from 1 species